UUCAACAGCCACAGACAUAUCACCUGCAGCCCAAGACCACUUACUCACUGUAGCUAACUACGCAGGGCUGAGCCUGGUCAGUACCUGGAUGGGAGACCACAUGGAAAACCAUAGGUUGCUGUUGGAA
rnacentral:rRNA from 1 species